AGAUUGAACGCUGGCGGCAUGCCUAACACAUGCAAGUCGAACGGGAGUAGCAAUACUCUAGUGGCGGACGGGUGAGGAAUACGUAGGAAUUUGCCCUUAAGUGGGGGAUAACCCGGGGAAACCCGGAUUAAUACCGCAUGACCUCGAAAGAGCAAAGUGGGGGAUCGCAAGACCUCACGCUUUUGGAGAAGCCUACGUCGGAUUAGCUAGUUGGUGAGGUAAUGGCUCACCAAGGCGACGAUCCGUAACUGGUCUGGGAGGAUGAUCAGUCACACCGGAACUGAGACACGGUCCGGACUCCGUACGGGAGGCAGCAGUGGGGAAUAUGGACAAGUGGGCGCAAGCCUGAUCCAGCAAUCGCCGCGUGUGUAGAAGGAAGGCCUUCGGGUUAGUAAAGUCUAACGUUUAAGGUUAGGAAAGAAAAAACGUCGACUACUAACAC
rnacentral:rRNA from 1 species